rnacentral:sRNA from 1 species
GAAAUCGAGGAAGCCUCAGGAUAAGGAAGGGAGCAGGAGAGGACAGGCGUCUGAAGACAUGGACGUGGGCCCAUCCCUGCCACGGUCCUGAGGCUGCAGGGGGCCCACAGCCCUCUGUGGGCUCCGUUUCCCUGUCUGGAAACAGGGUUAGGACUAAAUGGAAUUCCCUCUGCUAAGCAUUCUCCAACCCAAGGGCUCACAUCCACGAUUGUGACCCCUUAAGGGAGGGAAGAGGCCGGGGUUGAUGGGAGGAGCCCAGGACAGCCUGGGGGGCACCACAGGCCACGCCUUCGCCCACCUCCCACCCCGGCUGAUGGAUCCUCUGACCCUGCGUCCUGUCCCGAAACGCACCCCUCCCUUGGAAGCUGUCCCCAGGGAGAGCAGGAGCCACUGUGGCCCCAUGGUUCGGAGCCACCAGAGCAAACUGAAUUAAGGGACGUGGCUCAGACCUCGGCUAGAAGCCUCGGUGGCACUCGGGAGGGACUUCACAAACCAGGAUGCUGACAGGGAAAGUGCCAGGGCUUUUCCUGCAGAUGUGGGGCGGGCUCUGGGAGUCAGUUAAGGAACACAAAAUUCAGGAAGGCAGCGAGCCCUGGGCUGAGGCAGCUCCCGCACAGGCAGCGGCACCACCCGGGGCUUCCAGCGGGUCCAUGUGGAGAGUCCCUCGAACAAAGCCUUCUGGCUGGCACCCGGCAGGGCUGAGCACACGCUAGGCCUCAGUCAUCCUCAUUGGCUGUGUCAUCUUGUAAACAAAGAUUUCUCCUAACAGGCCCUCAAAAUUAACCUGCAGAAUUUCCCCUUAGAAUCUAAGUGAGAUCUCUUGCUUCAAAUAAGCCUUAAAUUUCUCCCUUCAGUGGGCACAGUGGCUCACUCUUGUAAUCCCAGCACUUUGGGAGGCUGAGACCCGUGAGCAGCUACAAGCCGAAGUGCAGAGGGCGCAGGCGCGGAUAGAGGACCUGGAGAAGGCCCUGGCAGAGCAGGGGCAGGACAUGAAGUGGAUUGAAGAGAAGCAGGCGCUGUACCGGAGAAAUCAAGAGCUUGUGGAAAAGAUCAAACAAAUGGAGACGGAAGAGGCUCGGCUCAGACACGAGGUGCAGGAUGCCAGAGACCAAAACGAGCUGCUGGAGUUCAGGAUCCUGGAGCUUGAGGAGAGGGAGAGGAAGUCACCCGCCAUCAACUUCCACCACACGCCCUUCGUGGACGGGAAGAGCCCCCUCCAGGUGUACUGUGAGGCCGAAGGCGUGACGGACAUUGUGGUCGCGGAGCUGAUGAAGAAGCUGGACAUCCUGGGCGAUAACGCCAACCUGACCAAUGAGGAGCAGGUGGUUGUCAUACAAGCCAGGACAGUCCUGACCUUGGCCGAAAAGUGGCUCCAGCAGAUUGAGGAGACAGAGGUGGCGCUGCAGCGGAAGAUGGUGGAUCUGGAGAGCGAGAAGGAGCUGUUCAGUAAGCAGAAGGGCUACCUGGACGAGGAGCUGGACUACCGGAAACAGGCCUUGGACCAGGCCAACAAGCACAUCCUGCAGCUGGAAGCCAUGCUGUAUGAUGCCCUGCAGCAGGAGGCCGGGGCUAAGGUGGCUGAGCUGCUGUCAGAGGAGGAGCGUGAGAAGCUCAAGGUGGCCAUGGAGCAGUGGAAGCGCCAGGUCAUGAGUGAGCUGCGCGAGCGGGACGCCCAGAUCCUGCGGGAGCGCAUGGAGCUGCUGCAGCUGGCCCAGCAGAGAAUUAAAGAGUUAGAAGAAAGAAUAGAAGCUCAGAAGAGACAAAUAAAGGAACUGGAGGAAAAGCUUUCAUUCUCUGGUCAUAGUCCGUCUUGGCACCCUGACGUGCCCCACAUUGAAUUGGACCCUUUUCCUCCAGUGGGACCAGAGAGCAGGGACAAAAUGGGACGUCGCGUCUCCAUCCUGAAGACCCAGGGGGAUUUGAUCUCUGCACGCCCGUCCCGUGGAGGAAGAGUGAGAAGCGGCAGCGUGUGGGGCGCGGAGCUGCUGUCCACGUGGGAUGUGCCAGAACUAGAACUGGCUCUGCCGACUUCUCGGGGGCUUCUCCGGGAGAGGCCCGGCCUUGGCUGCUGGACCCUGGGUCCCUUCUCCCGGACGGCAGCCCCCAUCCCAGUUCCAGGGAUGUGUAGCAUUCCCUGCCAAGCAGGGGUGAGAACUGCUUCUGUGCGGAAGCACCAGCCGCGGGUCCCCUCCUCUCUCUUGGUUCUCACAGUAGCUGCCACUGGUGUCUGGAGGAAGAUUUUCAGAAACAACAGAGGCUUGGCCCGAUGACAAGAUGAAAGCUGGACGGUGACCUUCAUUCAGGGGAACCUGGAGGCUCCCUGGGAUGGUCCUGGGAGGGCUCCCCGACGCCUCAGGGGCCCCUCCGAUGCUGCAGUGUGUUGCUGGGGUCCUGAGCACCCGCUGGCCAACAGACCCCACAUCCACCCUCGUUCAUCGUCAUCUCUGUGGGGACAGACAAGAGCCGUGGCCGCCGCGGGCCGCGUGGUGCCAUCAACCCUCUGCCUCCCUACUCAAUCUGAGACAGGAAGGCCAAGAUCCCGCCCGAGCCGCCAGCUGGGAGCACCGUGGGACUGAGCCAAGGAAAGUAUGGGGAGUGUGGUGACAGGAGGUGGGACGAGGGGGCGGAGCUGGCUGGAACACGGAUGCCACAGGCUGCCUCCGUAGUGCAUCUCCAGAAGUCACAGAGGCCCUGGGCACCCAGAGCCACCCGGCCUGGAAGCCCCUGCACGGGCCAGCCCUGCAGGCCAUGGACCCCGGCGGGCACCGAAGCCUCACCCCAAGCCUUCGCACACGAGGAGCAGCCCAGGUGGGGACGGCGGGCGCAAGAAGGGAGCCGCGGGAACGGCCUUUUCCCUCCCGCCCUGUGUGGGGACGCUGCACGAGCUGUGGACCAAGAGGCUGACAGAGAGGAAGCAGUGCAUUGGUGAAGGCAACGUUAGGUGUGAUUUCCAUUCCUGCUGGGAGACCCAGGCCGCAGCCCGGGAGCUUCGUCCAGUCUGUGGAUGGAGCCUGACUGGCUGCAGAUGGAACUUCUGUGUCCUCCCACCCUUGGUGGUCUAAGGUUAUUGCUCUCAGAGCUGAAUUGACAGGAGGUGUGUGUGCACUCACCUGUGUGCACAUGCAUGUGUUUGUGCAUGUUUUCACUCAACCAGAAGAGCAAUUCGUGGGAUUUAGCCAUUUUGAGGCACCUAGAAGUUGAGGCAGUUAGAUGUGCAGCCAGGUGUGAAUGUUACAUGCAGCAUUGUAUAAAAGAAGCGACUCAGCUGCUGUAGGGAGGACCGGGUUGUCUGGAAGUAUUAGGUUCAUUUUAUAUUUGUGUCAGAAGAAAUGUCUGACUUUGGGGCAGAUGACACAGUGGCUGCAGACCAGGCAUGGCUCCCUAGGUUGAAAUCGGGGAAAAGCUAAUAGUAUCAGACAGAUAUGCUUUUUCUUUGGUGGCUGCAGGAUUUCUGCUGGAAAAUGCACUAUUAAUCAGCAUUUGUCCAAGAAAGACCCAUCCAUUUCUGUUGUCAUUCAAGCCACAGUUCCUGAUUUACUCAGCAAGAUACUGGGCCAGUUCAAUGUCUCUAGCUGAGCCUGACCUCGGGGUUUGCGUCUCAAGUCUGAAAUCUUGUUUAGUCCUCUGUGCAUAGUUUUGUCUCAUUUUAACGACUGCAUCUUCUUGGUACAUUUAUUAUACUCAGAACUGAAUGGCACACAAUAGCCUUGUGUUAAUAAAAGCUACCGUGGCGCUAUGGGUGAACCUCUGGGUUGAAGUGCGAUGGACUCUACGAUGCAGGCAUCCAGAAAAAUGUUGUAACUCUACCUGGCUCCCUGCCAGCCUGGCCGCCUCCUCUGGGAGAGCUCCUGGCAUGGUCCCAAUGUGUACCUGCAUGGGUCAGCUGUUUUGGAUCUAAAGAUGUGCAGUGAAACUCAGAUUCCCAGAUUCACAUCCCUCAUGUUUAUUUGGGUCAUCAUGGUUUAGCAUGUUGUAUAUAUGUCUGGAGCACUUCAUACACCUCUAUCCACCACAGACACUCUUAAUCACAGUUCUGUAAUAAUAAGGCAAACUAUACAGCAAAGAGAAGCAUGUAAAUAUGUACCAAAUUCUUAUGAAGUUGUAAUUGUUUAUAUGUAAAAAGUAUGUAUAUAGGAAAGGGAGAAGGUGCAAGGAACGUGCUGAAUAACAUCCAAACUGCAUUGCGUCUCUGCCCCAUUCCUGAAAGCACACAUCUAGUUGGAGCAUCAGUUCCUCUCCUUAGAUAUCAUUGUUUUCACUCAUCUAUCAUAGGCACCUUCUUUACAUCUGAUUACAAUACCCAGCAUUUCAGAACUGGGUUUUUGCCCCCAAAAAGGUAAAUAUGAGCAUUUAUCACUGACUCUUCCUGGUCCAGUGAGCAGCAGCAGAAUUCAGGUAUUUAAAAAUAAGGUGCAUUUCUAAAUUGCAGGCUAUACCUUCUUUUCCAAACCAAUGGGCUAGAGUGAAUUUCCUCCAAGUACUUGGGCUGUCUUACUGCUAGCUCUUCUAACAGGGGAAGUCUGUAUAAAUGCAUCACCCCCUAAUAAGGCAAGAGGAAGGACCCUGAAAUGUUGCCAGAAAUGUUUACUGUGUAACUAGGACAUCAGCAUUUACAUUAUAUUGUAUUAACAUCAUCACACUCUGUGUUCAACACACAGAACAACAUAGAUACUUUAGUUUGUCUAAGGUAAAAAUCCACAUAAAUAGCAGAUCCCUUUGUUGAUACCAGUGUGGUGUUUACCUUGUGCCCAUGGUCUAGAUUUUGAGCUGGAGAAGGACUAUGGCUGUUCCUUAAAGUCUCUGCCCUCGCAGAAUCUGUAGCCUUCAGGAUACCCCGAGUGCCUUACAGGGCUUGUGAACACCGGUACUAGAAGUCAAAAAGAAGAGAUGCCCAGGUGUGGGUUUGGAGGCACUGACGCAUUCACCAACUCACCGUCAUCCCAUCCUUGAAACCCUGAGAGAAUGUGUGUUUUAUCACAGUAAUGGAAUUAAGUUUAGGCUCAGGAAACUCAUAUUGUGAAUAUAGGUAUCAAAUCAUAUAUUUGUUUACUGUAUAUUUUUUAAAAAGCUUUAUUGUAAAUUUAUGCAAAAACUAACUGGGCCUGUUUUCUUACGGCGGCAUGCUGGGUAGUGUGUGUAUUCUCCCAGGCACUCCCUUCAUAGUCACCCUCUAACCACGUGACAUUCUGUUCCGUGCUAAGCAGUAUUCACAGGCCUAACAUAGGUUUGUAUGGUGAUCUACAAGAUUUUACAAAUAUUUUUGUAUUGUGAUUCCUAUGAUAUAUACCAGAGAAUUUUUUACUCAUUUGUAAAUUAUUGUACAGUUUUAAUAAAAAAUGUUUUAAGUCUUA